rnacentral:lncRNA from 1 species
CAAGAUGUAUCCUGACUUGGAGGAGAAGAGCGGCGCCAUCAUGCAGGCCACCGCCGUCGUCCUUGGCGUCGGGCCUGCGAAAGUGCAGUUCGAGGAGGCCGCCGAGUCCGAUGAGGCUGGCCACGGCUGCAGCUGUGGCGCCAGUUGCAAGUGCAACCCUUGCAACUGCUAAGCUGCAAGCAGUCGAUGCGCUUGUGAUGAUUGUGCCGUGUGUGAUCGAGUGCGAAUAAUGAAACCGGCGCCGGACGUCUGGUUGGUGUUGUGGUGUGGUUUGUUCUUGGUGUCCUUGUGACUUGUGAAACUGUCACUACUGCUUUGUGUUUGUGUGCGCGAACCUAUCUGUGUGUAUCUUUGUAAUGGUCUAUCUAAAUGGACUUAAUAUACAAAACAGGUUCUCGCAAAGUGUGAAUUAUUAGUCACGUCUUACAUAUUUAUAUCUUAUUUUGUAAGAUAGAAAGAUGAAAGAUAAACAUAGUUCUUCCAUACACGGUUGCCAAUAUGUUUCUCUACAUGAACAUAAAGGAAAACAUUCAGCCAUAAAAACGGGCCACUUCCAUCUGCAAAGGUUGAAAUGGAAGGAGUCCUACCUAGCUUAUUGGCUAAGACUAGCAACUCUCAUAGUCCAUUUAUUUAUAGUGUUUUUUCCCUUUGGCGAGGGUUGCAUGGUAUGAUGGAUAGAUGCUUACUUGUUUGCGGAUUGGUUAGAACACGAAUACGGAAGCCGAUCACCCAACCGCAUCUCCUAAAUGCAUGCCUAGGUCUCGUCAUACUUCAUUUUAAAUGCAUAGCAAUUUAAUCAAAUUAAAGUGUGGUGUUUAUAGCACCCGAUCAAAACCCAAAAAUAUGUAUGUUGAUAGGUUUUAAAUGCGCUCGAUCACAAAAGAACUAGUCUGAUAGUCCGUGCAAAAAAAGAAAUUUUCCCUCUCAGACUGAUUGUCAAAGCCUCCUUGCUCACUUUGUCGCGGCCUCCUCCUCACCAGAGGCCUCCUUCUUGGCCGCCUCCAUCUCAGCUGCUAAGCGCUUCUACAACCUAAAAUGGACGAGGCGCACGACAUCGCUGCUCGACAUCCAACUCGUCCUUCCUCAUGGCCAACAUCUUAGUAUCAUCCAAAAUGGUCGCGAGCUCAACCAUCUUCUCUUCGAGCUUGGUGCUCUUCUCUUUGAGGUUGAUCUCCUUCUCGGUCGCCGCCAUCCAGAUGUUGAACAUCUCCGCCUUCUUUUCCUCCUUCAUGCCAUAGCGCUUGACACAUUUAUCCUCCUUCUUCGCCAAGAUGUCCUCAAAUAUCUCUGUCAUCUUUGUCGCCACCCCUUUCGGUUCAACUUUUCCUCCUCCCACUUCUUUCUCCGGAAUGUUGUCUAACCUUUUUGGGUGGCACUUUUGUUGGGUCGGUUGGUUUACCAGCUUUUUCCUCACUAGCGAUGCCAACGGUAUUGAUGAAAUUGGCAACGCUAUUUUGCCACUUGGAUUGUGUAUUCAUUUUCAACCAACAAUGCAUGAGGACUAUGUUCUUCUUCUUUAUCUUCAAAUACAAGUUGCACCCACAGGAAGACUAUCAAACACUAGAUAUUGACAACAAGGUGCGUAUCUAGCCAAAUGACAACCACCUAGAGCAUAUCUGACCAAUAAGUUCCAUAUCCGGUCAAAUGACAUAGAGAAUAUUUGGCCAAAUGGCCAACACAUAGAACAACUUACUUGGUCGGUGAUUUGUGCACCACUUGGCCAUUAACCAAUGAGUUGUUUCAAAUUGACGCAAUACUUCCUCACGUCCUCUUAGAUGGUGUACCAUUGAUGGUUGAGUGACUUUGUCCCAUGAUAACCAAUGAGUUCGUUGCAGUAGGGCUCAAAAUUCAUGUGCUUAUGAAACCAAAAAUGAAUUUUGGACAAAAUAAUUGUGCCCACUUGCUCCGUGCCAUGGAUCAGAUCGAUGCUAACCACACAUCACACAACAAAUCAUUCUCCCUCGUGUUGAAACUUUACCGUUUACCCCUCUUCUUUGGAGGAUCAUCCUCAUCAACUCCUUGUCUGCAUCAUCGUAUGAUGUCUAGCCUGGUUGAGACAUAUCGGUUUUAUGCUUGCUUGGUUGUUCGGUCUCUUUACCAGUGUUGUUCUUAAAGCUUGCAUGCUUAGGUCAUAAUCUUAAUUCUAAUAAUUGUGUUGAUGUUUGUAUGCUUUCUUACAGGGGUUUAUUGUCAAUUUUGGCCUUGCCACACAUUGAGCAUGCUUGUUUAUUAGUGUUGCGAUGAAAAAUAGCAUCUUAACUUUGGAGGUUACUCCAAACUAAAGCACACUGCCAUGACUACGAUGUGAGAAUGUUGUCCAACUAACUAGGAUUCAACUUGGGCCAUUGAUAACUCACAAGUAUAGGGGAUCGCAACAGUUUUCGAGGGUAGAGUAUUAAACCCAAAUUUUUUGAUUCGACACAAGGGGAAGCCAAAAAAUAUUCUCGAGUAUUAGCAGUUGAGUUGUCAAUUCAACCACACCUGAAAGACUUAGUAUCUGCAGCAAAGUUUCAGUAUCAAAGUAGUGUGAUAGCAAUAGCGGUAACAGUAGCAGCAGUGACAGCAGUAGCGGUAAAGUAACGUAGCAAGGACCAGUAGGAAAAACUCGUAGGCAUUGGAUCGGUGAUGGAUAAUUAUGCGGGAUGACAUUCAUCAUGUAGCAGUUAUAACAUGGGGAGAUAUGUAACUAGCUCCAGUUCGUCAAUGUAAUGUAGGCAUGUAUUCCGUAUAUAGUCAUACGUGCUUAUGGAAAAGAACUUGCAUGACAUCUAUUGUCCAUCCCUCCCGUGGCAGCGGGGUCCUAAUGGAAACUUAGGGAUAUUAAGGUCUCCUUUCAAUAGAGAACCGGAACAAGGCAUUAGCACUUAGUGAAUACAUGAACUCCUCAUACUAUGGUCAUCUCCGGGAGUGGUUCCCGCUACUGUCACUCCGUGGUUGCUGGGUCAUAACACAUAGUAGGUGACUACAACUUGCAAGAUAGGAUCAAGAACACACAUAUAUUGAUGAAAACAUAAUAGGUUCAAAUCUGAAAUCAUGGCACUCAGGCCCUAGUGACAAGCAUUAAGCAUAGCAAAGUAAGAGUAACAUCAAUCUCAGAACAUAGUGGAUACUAGGGAUCAAACCCCAUCAAAACUAACCUGAUUACAUGAUAGAUCUCAUCCAACCCAUCACCGUCCAGCAAGCCUACGAUGAGAUUACUCACGAACGCUGAAGAGCAUCAUGGAAUUGGCGAUGAAGGAUGGUUGGUGAUGACGACGGCGUCGAUUCCCCCUCUCUGGAGCCUAGAACGGACUCCAGAUCUGCCCUCCAGAGGAAGAACAGGUGGUGGCGGCGGCUCCGUAUCGUAAAACGCAAUGAACUCUUCUCUCAAUUUUUUUUGGGCGAGAGAGACUAAAUAGAGCUGAAGUUGGAGAUGGCGGAGCCACGAGGCCUCACAAGCCUGCCAGGCGCGGCCAGGGGGCCGCACCUCCUGGGCUUGUGGGCUCCUCACUCCGUCCCUCCAGGUAAUUUUUGCGCCAAUAUUUUUUAUAUAUUCCACAAAAAAUCCUCGUAAAUUUCCAGGUCAUUCCGAGAACUUUUAUUUCUGAGCAAAAACAACACCAUGGCAAUUCUGCUGAAAACAACGUUAGUCCGGGUUAGUUCCAUUCAAAUCAUGCAAAUUAGAGUCCAAAACAAGGGCAAAAGAGUUUGGAAAAGUAGAUACGAUGGAGACGUAUCAACUCCCCCAAGCUUAAAGCCUUGCUUGUCCUCAAGCAAUUCAGUUGACAAACUGAAAGAGACGAAAGAAAAACUUUUUCGAACUCUGUUUGAUCUUGUUGUAAUUAUGUCUAACUCAUAUUCAGAUUUUCAGCAAGAUCAUAAGCUAACCACAUAAGCAAUGACAUUUAGGUCUCAUGGUAAACUCAUAUCAAUGGCAAAAUCAACUAGCGAGCAAUAAUAAUAAGUUUCAAACGUCAACACUUCAAUCAAAACAAUCAUGAAGCAAUAUGAACAGAUGGUAUCUCGCUAGCUCUUUCUGAGACCGCAAAACAUAAAUGCAGAGCACCUUCAAAGACCAAGGGCUGGCUGAACAUUGUAAUUCAUGGCAAAGAAGAUCCAGUCACAGUCAUACUCAAUAACAAUUAAUAGCAAAGCAUAAAAAUGAAGGAAGUGCUCUCUAAUUGGUGCCUUUAUAAGAAGAGGAUGACUCAACAGAAACAUAAAUAGAUAGGCCCUUCGCAGAGGGAAGCAUUUGAUUUGCAGAGGUGCCAGAGCUCAAGAUUUGAAGACAGAUAUAAAUAAUUCUUGGUGGCAUGCUUUCAUUGUCAACGCGAUGACCAAGAGUUUUCACCAUCUUCCAUGCUACACAAAUUAUAGGUGGUUCCCAAACAAAAAAGUAAAGUUUUGACUCCCCCACCACCGAUCAAUCACACUCCACGAGUAGCCGAAUCCUCGGGUACCGUCCAUACCAACAACAAUCCACGGGGAGUUUUGUUUGCAAUUAUCUUUUUGAUUUGAGCAUGGAACUGGGCAUUCCAGUUACCGUCCCCUUUCUCGUGAGUGAUAGUGAAUAAACAUGUAUCGAGGAUAAAACGCCUAGCAUGGAAUAUACUGACCGCCCUUGUCACCACAUGAGCGGUUCGGGCAUGCAAAACAGAUUAUUACUUGGAGGUUUAGAGAGUGGCACAUGAAAAUUUACUUGGAACGGCAGGUAGAUACCGCAUAUAGGUAGGUAUGGUGGACUCAUAUGGAACAACUUGGGUUUAUGGAAGUGGAUGCACAAGCGGUAUUCCCACUUAGUACAAGUGAAGGCUAGCAAAAGACUGGGAGGCGACCAACUAGAGAGCGACAACAGUCAUCAAUAUGCAUUGAAAUUAACCAACAUUGAAUGCAAGCAUGAGUAGGAUAUAAAUCACCAUAAACAUGAAUAUCAUAGAGGCUAUGUUAAUUUUAUUUCAAUUACAUGCGUAAACAUGCGCCAAGUCAAGCCACUUGAAUCAUUCAAAGGAGGAUACCAUCCUAUCAUACUACAUCAUAAUCAUCUUGAAAUUCAUGUUGGCAUCCAAGACAAACCAUUAUAAGCUCCUAGCUAAUUAAGCAUGGCAUCAGAAACUAUGAUCUCUAAGUUGUCAUUGAAAACAAGUUUCUCUCAUAACAAAGCUGAAUUGGAACGAUGAGCUAGUCAUAUUUACAAAAACAAAAUAGAUCGAGUUCAUACCAUCUUUUCCAGGCUCAGUCAAUUCAUCAUAUAUCGUCAUUAUUGCCUUUCACUUGCAUGACCGAAUGAUGUGAAUAAUAAUGAGAGUGUUCGUGCAUUGGACUAAGCUAGAAUCUGCAAGCAAACACAUAGGAGAAGACAAAGCAAAAUGGAUCUUUGAUGGAUAAACAAUAAUGCAUACGAAAGCCACUAAACAUUGUAACCAUGGUCUUCUACCUUGACCCAAAGAAAAAGAAAACUAUUUACACGGAAAGCUCCCAACAAGCAAAAGAAGAAUGAGCAAUCUUUUUGGGUUUUCUCAAUCUAAACAAACACACGAGAAGAAAGCGAGAAAAAGAAAUAAACUAGCAUGGAUGCUAUAGUGGAAAGGUGUGAACACCUACUAUCAAAGUGAAAGUGUGCGCAUGAAUAUAAAGUCGGUGAGGAACACGUACUCCCCCAAGCUUAGGCUUUUGGCCUAAGUUGGUCUACUCCCAUGGCUGGUCCGGGCGAUAUCCAAAAUCAUAAUGGGGGUUGUACGGAAACACGGCAACUACCACCUGAAUAGCUGCCUCACGGAGGCGAGUAGCCUUCGCCUCCCUCUCAUACUCCUCUGCCUCUCCUCUGGUUAUAUAAUAUCUCUGUUUUACCUGAAAGUCAAAGAAGGCAGGAGAAGGAAGGGUAAUAUGGAAAACACGUUGUCGGUUAAAUAUUAACCGAUAUAGGAGGGAUUCAUUAUCCCUCUCAAGGAACUGAUAACGUGUCAUAGCGGCGCGAUCAAGGAAAGCUGUAUGGACGGGGGAUCUUCUUCGCGGAUGAGUACUCCAAGAAAAUUUGCUAUGCGAGUGGCAUAGAUUCCACCAAAGAAAUCCCCUUCAUUAGCAUUAUUAUUUAGCCUCCUCGCGAUUAUAGCUCCCAUGUUGAAACUUUUAUCACCCGUUACUGCGCUCUUAAGAAUAGCAAGGUCAGGUGCGUAGAGAUGACAAUGCUAAGUCUUGCUGUUAAUGCAUCUACCUAUGAAGAGGGCAAAAUAAUGCAAGGCAGGAAAAUGAAUGCUCCCCAUGGUAGCCUGCGUAAUAUCUCUAGUUUCUCCAACAGUUAUACUAGAGAAAAAAUCUCUAACCGAAGACUUAGGAGGAUCAUUAAGACUACCCCAAUCAGGUAUCUUGCAAAUUCUGUUGAAAUCCUCUAAAUCCAUGGUAUACGAUUUGUCAUAGAGAUCAAACAGUAUGGAAGUGUCAAGGCCAACUGAAAAUUUAAAUCUACGAACAAAAGAGGCAGUGAGAGUAGUAUACUGUUCACAUUUAUUGGAGAUGAAUUCUUCGAGCCCGGCGUUGUGAAGAAAUGUAUCAAACUCGUCUUUGAAACCUGCAUCAAUCAUGAAUUCAUGAGGAGGCCAUUCACAUGGUUGUACCUGUGCGUUCCUCGGUUGGUAAGGAUCGGGUUCCCGAAUCGCGAGACGGGGACCCCGCUUGCUUGAAGAACCACCAUGAUAGUUUUUCCUGGACAUCUUCUUUUUCUGAAUUUUUUAGUGACUCAAAAGAAAAGUGAACAAGGCUCAACAAAACUCAUAGCAACCACUCCUACAAGUGCCUAGAGGCCAUAUCAUGCAUCAAAACUACUUGGGACAAUUAACAUGCAAAUCUCAAGAACAGGGUCACCAAGGCAGCAAUAGUACACAACAAAUAAAGCACUAGAGCAAAAACUAAUUGGACCAAUGGAGGAGUCACAUACCAAGGAACAAUCCCCCCAAAACAGUUUGGUGAAUGGGGCUUUGCACAAGGAGAUCGAAAAACGCAGCAAGAAGAGCAAGAACACGGGUUUGAGUUGUGGAAUGAUUUUUUCUGGAGGUAGGAGAAGGAGAUGGAAGCUGGAAUAAGUGGAGGGGGCCACGUGGGGCCCACAAGCCUGCCAGGCGCGGCCAGGGGGGUGCCCGCGCCUCCAGGGCUUGUGGCCCACUGGUGCAUCCCCUUGCCUAGCUCUUUAUCUCAUAAUUUUUCAAAAAUUCCAGAAAAAAACAUACUUGAUUUUCAGGGCAUUUGAAGAACUUUUAUUUUCGGGACACUUUUCUAAGGGACGCAAAAAGCAGAAAACAGGAAAAUAAAGCUAAAUUUAUCAUUUUUCUUCUAAACAACAUAGCGUAAAAGUUCGUACAAAAGGUUGUGACUCUUAGAUUCAUCCAUCUCAUGGUCAUCAAAAGAAAUCCAUCAAUGGGGUUGAUCAAGUCUCCUUGACAAACUUUUUCCGAAUUACAUGAAACCGGAGAAUUUUCGAAUAAUCACUAAGUUACCUCAAUGGGGAUGUGCAUAUCCCCAACAAGCAAAUCAUACUUCAUCUUGACAGUAGGUAUAGGGCAUUCAAAGCUCCCAAUAAGGAUUGAUGAAGUUUUUUCAAUAGCAUUGAUACAAUGAACUCGAUAUUGUUUCGUCGGAAAGUGCACCGUAUGCUCAUUACCAUUAACAUGGAAAGUGACAGUACCUUUGUUGCAAUCAAUAACAGCCCCUACGGUGUAUAAAAAGGGUCUUCCAAGGAUGACUUCCAUGGCAUCAUCCUCGGGAAUAUCCAGAAUAACAAAGUCUGUUAAGAUAGUAACGUUAGCAACCACAACAGGCACAUCCUCGCAAAUGCUGAUAGGAAAAGUAGUUGAUUUGUCGGCCAUUUGCAAAGACAUUUCAGUGGGUGUCAACUUAUCCAAUUCAAGUCUACGAUAAAGAGAGAGAGGCAUAACACUAACACCGACUCCAAGAUCGCAUAAAGUAGUUCUAACGUAGUUUCCUUUAAUGGAGAAAGGUAUAGUGGGCACUCCGGGAUCACCUAGUUUCUUAGGAGUUCCACCCUUGAAGGUGUAAUUAGAGAGCAUGGUGGAAAUCUCAACCUCAGGUAUCCUCCUUUUAUUGGUCACAAUAUCUUUCAUGUACUUAGCAUAAGGAGACAUUUUGAGCAUAUCUGUCAAACGCAUUUGCAGAAAGACAGGUCUAAUCAUUUCAACAAAGCGCUCAAAAUCCUCAUCAUCUUUUUUCUUGGAUGGUUUGGGAGGAAAGGGCAUGUGUUUGUGAACCCAUGGUUCUCUUUCCUUACCAUGCUUCCUAGCAAUGAAGUCGUUCUUAUCAUAUCUCCUAUUCUUAGGUUGUGGGUUAUCAAGAUCAAUAGGUUCAAUCUCCACAUCCUUAUCAUUGCUAGGUUGAGCAUCAACAUGAACACCACUAUCGAUAUUAUCACUAGGCUCAUGUGCAUCACCAGAUUGUGUUUUGGCAUCAGAAACAGAGACAUCGUUUAGAUUCUCAGGUGUAAUAGCAACAGGGUUGCUAACAUGCAAGUUCCUAUCAUCUUUCUUUUUCUUCCUAAUACCAGGAUGACUAGGUGUAUCAGUGUUAACUCUUUAAGAAUCUUGUUCAAUUCUCUUAGGAUGACCCUUAGUAUACAAAGGUUCCUGGGUCAUUCUACCGCCUCUCGUGACAACUCUAACAGACUUGUCAUUCAACUCGUUGAGCAAGUCAUUUUGAGCCUUAAGUACUUGUUCUACUUGAGUAGUGACCAUAGAGGCAUGUUUACUCAAAAGCUUAAGAUCAUUGAUAGUUCUAUCCACACAAGCACUUAUAUGAUCAAUCAUACGAGCAUUUUGCCUCAAUUGUCUGCUAACAUAAUCAUUGAAACUUUGUUGUUUGGCAACAAAGUUAUCAAAUUCAUCUAAGCAUAAGCUAGCAGGUUUAUCAUAAGGAAUAUCACUCUCAUUGAUUCUACGAAGAGAAUUUACGUCUACUACCUGUGUCGGGUUAUCAAGACCAUGUAUUUCUUCGAUAGGUGGUAGAUUCUUGACAUCUUCAGAUUUAAUGCCUUUCUCUUGCAUAGAUUUCUUAGCUUCUUGCAUAUCUUUAGGACUAAGGAAUAGGAUACCUCUUUUCUUCGGAGUUGGCUUCGGAGGUGGUUCGGGAAUAGUCCAAGCAUUAUCAUUACUCAAGAUAUUAUUCAAUAGAAUCUCAGCUUGUUCCACAGUUCGUUCCCUAAAAACACAACCAGCACAACUAUCUAGGUGGUCCCUAGAAGCAUUGGUUAGUCCAUUAUAAAAGAUAUCAAGUAUUUCAUUUUUCUCAAGAGAGUGAUCAAGCAAAGCAUUCAGUAACUGGACAAGCCUCCCCCAAGCUUGUGGGAGACUCUCUUCUUCAACUUGCACAAAGUUAUAUAUAUCCUGCAAGGCAGCUUGUUUCUUAUGGGCAGGAAAAUAUUUCUCAGAGAAGUAGUAGAUCAUAUCCUGGGGACUACGCACGCAACCAGGAGCAAGAGAAGUGAACCAAGUCUUAGCAUCACCCUUUAGCGAGAAAGGAAACAACUUAAGGAUAUAGUAAUGGCGAAUCUUUUCCUCACUUGUGAAUAGGGUGGCUAUAUCGUGCAGCUUAGUAAGAUGUGCUACAACCGUUUCAGACUCAUGACCAUGAAAAGGAUCAGAUUCGACCAUAGUGAUUAACUCAGGAUCGACAGAGAAUUCAUAAUCCUUAUCAGUCACAAAGAUGGAUGAAGUAGCAAACUUAGGAUCGUAAUUCAUUCUAGCGUUCAGGGAUUUUUAUUUCCACUUGCGCAAUAAAUUCUCAAGAUCAUAGCUAUCCUUAGACGCAAUAAAGUCCUCAGCUACCUCUCCCUCCAUAACAUAACCCUCAGGUAUAUCAGACAAUUCAUAUCUAGGAGAGCUAGUUCUAACACGUGAAACAGCAGGUUCUACUUCAAUAAUUUCAGCAGUUUCAGAAGUAUCAUCACAUUCAGCAGCAACUCUAGCAAUUUGUGCAUCAAGGAAUGCACCAAGUGGCAAAGCAGUAUCAAGCAAAGCAUCAUCAUAAGCAUCAUGGAUAGCAGAAGUAGCAUCAUCAAGCACAGGCGACACAUCAUAAUUUCUAGUAGGUGAUGGUGUCGCAAACUUACUCAUAACUGAAGGUGAAUCAAGUGCAGAGCUAGAUGGCAGUUCCUUACCUGUCCUCGUAGUUGAGGGCAAGACUUUAGUUUUUGGAUCUCUCAGAUUCCUCAUAGUGAUCAACAGACGUAAAUCCCAAGUGACUCAAAGAAUAGAGCUAGGCCUCCCGGCAACGGCGCCACAAAAUAGUCUUGAUAACCCACAAGUAUAGGGGACCGCAAUAGUUUUCGAGGGUAGAGUAUUCAACCCAAAUUUUUUGAUUCGACACAAAGGGGAGCCAAAGAAUAUUCUCGAGUAUUAGCAGUUGAGUUGUAAAUUCAACCACACCUGAAAGACUUAGUAUCUGCAGCAAAGUUUCAGUACAAAAGUAGUGUGAUAGCAAUAGCGGUAACAGUAGCAGCAGUGACAGCAGUAGCGGUAAAGUAACGUAGCAAGGACCAGUAGGAAAUACUCGUAGGCAUUGGAUCGGUGAUGGAUAAUUAUGCCGGAUGACAUUCAUCAUGUAUCAGUUCUAACAUGGGGAGAUAUGUAACUAGCUCUAGUUCAUCAAUGUAAUGUAGGCAUGUAUUCCGUAUAUAGUCAUACAUGCUUUUGGAAAAGAACUUGCAUGACAUCUAUUGUCCAUCCCUCCCGUGGCAGCGGGGUCCUAAUGGAAACUUAGGGAUAUUAAGGUCUCCUUUUAAUUAAUAGAGAACCGGAACAAAGCAUUAGCACUUAGUGAAUACAUGAACUCCUCAUACUAUGGUCAUCUCCGGGAGUGGUCCCGGCUAUUGUCACUCCGGGGUUGCCGGGUCAUAACACAUAGUAGGUGACUACAACUUGCAAGAUAGGAUCAAGAACACACAUAUAUUGAUGAAAACAUAAUAGGUUCAGAUCUGAAAUCAUGGCAAUCGGGCCCUAGUGACAAGCAUUAAGCAUAGCAAAGUAGUAACAACAUCAAUCUCAGAACAUAGUGGAUACUAGGGAUCAAACCCUAUCAAAACUAACUCGAUUACAUGAUAGAUCUUAUCCAACCCAUCACCGUCCAGCAAGCCUACGAUGAGAUUACUCACGACCGGUGAAGAGCAUCAUGGAAUUGGCGAUGAAAGAUGGUUGGUGAUGACGAUGGCGUCGAUUCCCCCUCUCCGGAGCCCAGAACGGACUCCAGAUCUGCCCUCCAGAGGAAGAACAGGUGGUGGCGGCGGCUCCUUAUCGUAAAACAUGAUGAACUCUUCUCUCUUAAUUUUUUCUAGGCGAGAGAGACUAAAUAGAGCUGGAGUUGGAGGCGGCGAAGCCACGAGGUCCUCACAAGCCUGCGAGGCGCGGCUAGGGGGGCGCGCCUCCUGGGCUUUUGGGCUCCUCGCUCCGUCCCUCCAGGUAAUUCUUGCGCCAGUAUUUUUUAUAUAUUCCACAAAAAAUCCUCGUAAAUUUCCAGGUCAUUCCGAGAACUUUUAUUUCUAUGCAAGACAACACCAUGGGAAUUCUGCUGAAAACAGCGUUAGUCCGGGUUAGUCCCAUUCGAAUCAUGCAAAUUAGAGUCCAAAACAAGGGCAAAAGAGUUUGGAAAAGUAGAUACGAUGGAGACGCAUGAGUCAUAAAUAAUGUAAAUUUUGUCCAUCCUUAAGUGAUUGGAAUGUUCAUGACUAUGGUAGAGAUAUGAAUGAAGUUAGUGUGUGCUCAAACUUGAAUUUUGAUGAUACUAAUGACUUUUAGAUAAUGCAAUGCUUAUGCUAUUUUUGUUGGUUAAUGCCAUUUUACAAUAUCUAGCACUACCCUUUUGAAUCACAUUUUGUAUUUAAAUGACCAAGUAUGUGGUUCAUGGCGAUUGUACCAUGAACAAGUCACUAGGUUUGAAAGUAUGGAGAAGUCUGGUCAUGGGAGACAGAGAGAUACAACAAGUUGUGUAUUAAGUAGGCUUAAGGAGUCUGCUAUUAUCAUGAAAUUUGGAAUAUUUAUUAUGGUACCUUUUUUCUAAAUAUGAUAUAGGAGUCUGCUAUUAUCACAUACAACGAGUAAAAGAGGGGGCGUCAUGCUUGAAUGAUUAUCGGAUUGGGUAACUCCAUAACGUGUGUUCCAAGGUGAGUUGAGCGGGCCUUAUGCAUGCAACCAAACAACUGGGAUGUGCUCAUUUGGGCUUGUCCCGAGUGGGUUGUGUGGCAACUCCAUGCAUAUAGCAUCAGUGCAUCACAUACAAUGAGUACACGAUGGGGCACCAUGCUUGAAUGAUUUUUUUAUAAAGGGCAUUUUAUUAUUUUAAAGUUUUAAGCAGUACAUCCGGCCUCUGCAUAUGUAAAAUGCACACAGCCGCAACAAGUCCAAACACAAAAAAAAGACGUAAUACGAAUAAUCUUGAAGAAACUGUAUGACGCCUAAGUAGAAGGCUGCCAUCCAUGCUGGAUAAAAAUAUCCUUCGCCGGUCCUCCAAGCGUAUAUAGACCGCCGUAAACAGUUCGCUAAACUCCACACGAUGCUUGAAUGAUUAUAGGAGUGGGUAACUUCAUCACCCAUGUUGCAAGGUGGGCACAUCGGGCCUGAUGCAUGCAACCAAACAACUAGGUUUGGAUUCAUUUGUGCUUGUCCUCAGUGGAUUGUGUGGCAACUCCUUGCAAUCGUAAUGUGAACCUCGGCAUGUGUGUUGGUUGUAUCAUUUGUUAAUGCCCUUACUCUCAUAAUUCAAUGGUUGGGAGACAUUAGAUAAGGAUCUAUUAGAUUCGUGUGAUUCCAAAGAUAGAUGCGGCGCUCCUUUGUCAUGUCCUCUUGAAUUCCACAUGUUUGAACUUCCAACAAGAUUUCUCUAAUUUCAUCGUGGAAGAAAAGACUAUUUCCAAUUGGUUAAGUAAAUGGAAUUUUAAUUUGAAAUACAGUGUAAAGGAACAUGGAGUAUAAUUCUAGAAACCAAACAGUGUACUUAAAAAUAUGACUAAGAAUUACAGUCCUCUAAAGUUUCUAUAAAUCCAUUUGAAUUAUUAAGAUUCUCACAACACAUAGUGCAAGUCCUAACAAACCACGAUCCAAAGACAUAAUCAGAUACCAAGUACACAAGUACUGGUCAAUACAAUUCCUAAACAUGGAGCAAUGUACUCCCUCCGUUUCUAAAUAUAAGUCUUUAUAAAGAUUUUAUUAUGAACUACAUAUGAAGCAAAAUGAUUGAUUUUAUACAUUAAAAUAUGUCUAUAUACAUCCGUAUAUAGUUCAUAGUGAAAUUUUUGUAAAGACUUAUAUUUAGGAACGGGUAAAGUAUUUCUUAUGGAUGGCUCUACCAGAAAAAGAACAUGCGAAUAAACAAGGAGCUAGGUAUCUCAAAUGCAUGGUCCUGGUCACUACAAUUUCUUAACAUUGAUGGAUGGGAAAACUCUUAUUAGUUAAGAAGGAAACAUGGAGAGGUAGCAAAUGUAAAUAGGAUACACGCAUGCAGUUCGAUUUGUUCAACCGAGAUGCUUACUGAAAUAAUGACAAGGAGCAAGAAUAAGGCGGGAUUCUGCGCAGAAUGUUUUUUAUCUGGACGUUACUUUGAGAUAAAAUAAGUUAUUAUUUUCCCUAUUUGUGUAAAGGGAUACACAAUAAACAUAAUUUAUUUUCUAAGAACUUGUUCCAUUGAGAAUAAAUUGUGAUGAUAAUAAGGUGUGAGAGUUAUGUCAAGAAAGUGAUGGUAAGGAUAGAAAACAAAGAAGGCACAUUUCUGGCCGGCAUGCUAGCUGUUGUCGAAGUCAGCCAAUAUAAAAUGAAUCAAAGUGUUAUGCCGUUAUUAGGUCUUACUUGUAUUAAUUGAACAGCUAAUGUACAUAGUUUCUCUCAACACGCAUAUAAAUACGUGUUAUUUUUUAAUAAGGAGUGUUAAGACCACAGAUACCACCCAUCGUUGCUUUAGAAGAAAGCAACAAUUUGUUCGUAAACGCCUAAAAUGUACAGAAAUUAAUACAGAAAUCAUAAGGACACAUGUAAGGAAUGCUCACUAUCACUGUCGAUUUAUGUAGCAUAUUUUGUUCUGUGAAAACAGAAGUUCAUUCGGUAGCUUGAAUACUUGCAAGGAUAAAAUUAUCAAAUUGCAAAGUUUUAUUUAGUCAUAGAAAAUUGUAUUAGAUGGACGGAAGUUGACUCAUUCUAGGAAGCCUGUGUAUAGCAUCCUGACACAAAUGUCCUGUAAAACACACUAGUUCGCCUAUAAAUAGUGGUACACAAGUCGAGCAUAUGCAUCGUCCAGUGCUCACCAUCCCAAUUAAAGUCUUUCAUCUUCAACAGCAGAGGUUACAGCAGAAUUAAGGAUGUCUUGCAGUUGUGGAUCAAGCUGCGGCUGCGGCUCAAACUGCAACUGCGGGUAUACGCAUACUUCUUCCUCUUUCAAACUAGAGUAUUUUCUUGCUCAGAUUUUGUUUUGAUUUUUUUGUUGCAGCAAGAUGUACCCUGACUUGGAGGAGAAGAGCGGCGCCACCAUGCAGGUCACCGUCAUCGUCCUCGGCGUCGGGUCCGCGAAGGUGCAGUUCGAGGAGGCCGCCGAGUCUGGUGAGGCCGCCCAUGGCUGCAGCUGCGGUGCCAACUGCAAGUGCAACCCUUGCAACUGCUAAGCUGCAAACGGUGUAUGCGAUUGUGGUGAUUGUGUCGUGUGUUAACGAGUGUGAAUAAUGAAACCAGCACCAGCCGGUUGGUCUGUGUUGUGGUGUGGUUUGCUCUUGGUGUGCUUGUGACUUGUGAAAAUAUCACUAUUGUUAUGUGUUUGCGCGUACGAGCCUAUGUGUGUGUGUCUUUGUAAUGGCCCAUCUAAACUGAAGUGAAUAUACAAAAACAGGUUCGCUCAAAGUAUGAAUUAUCUUUUUAGAAAAGGAGGUUGACCCCCGGCCUCUGCAUCUGGACGAUGCAUGCAGCCAUAAGUACGAAUUAUUAGCAAGGUCUUACAUAUUUGUCUCUUAUUCUGUAACAAGGAAAGAUGGUAGAUAAUAAUUCCUUCACACGCUGGUGCCAAUAUAUUUCUCUACGUGAACAUAAAGGAAACCCGAAAAUAGGACUCCUAGCUUAUUGGCUAGACUAUCUCAUGUCCAUAUGCAAGGGAUUGAAAUAGGACUCCUAGCUUACUAGCUAGACUACCAACUCUCAUAGUCCAUUUAUCUAUAGUGGUCGUCCCUCGGAUCAAGGCCGCACGGUGCUUAAAGCAUCCCUCGGUCAUUCCUACUAGGAACAUCUAGUUUGUAUGCAUGCUCUGAUGCUCACGUGAGGGAUUUGUGUGUCGAUGAUGUUUGAUGCGUGUAUGCUUGCUUUAGUGGCUCGGUUGGUAUGGAGCGAUAUUUGUGAGGGUUUUAUGGAUGCUUGGUUGGGUCUAUUUACCAAUGAUGUUCUUCAGGCUUGUAAGCAUGCUUACAUCAUAAUUCUUAUACCAAUAAUGUUGUUGAUGCUUGUAUGCAUUCUUAGAGGGGCUAGGUAUGUAUGCCCAUGAUCAAUUUAGUCUUGUUCCAUGUUGAUCAUGAUUGUUUAUCAGCAUUGCGAUGAAAAAAAGCAUGUUCACUUUGGAUGUUGCUUCAAGCUGAAGCAUGCCGCCAUGACUAUGCUGCAAGAAUGUUGCAUAACUAACUAUGAUUCAGUUUUAGCCACAAACCUUGAGAAUUUAGUCCAUUGUUCGGUAAUUGGAAUGUUGGUGACUAUCCAAGGUGGUAGAGAUUGGAGUCAUGUUAGUCAUAUGUUUGAUCAACCUUGAAUUUUGAUGAUGCUUAUGACUAUUUCAGUUAUGCAAUGCUUAUGCUCUCUUUGUUAGUUAAUAUCUAUUGCUACCCAUUUUAAUCGCAUUAUGUAUUUAAAUGAACUAGUAUGAGGUUCAUGGAAAUUGUGCCAUGAAAGUCACUGGUUUAAAAGUAAGUUCCUACAAAGGGUUUGAAAGUAGAGAGAAGUCUGGUCAUUGGAGAGAGAAAGAUAAAACAUGUUGUGUAUUAAGUAGGCUUAAAGGUUAGGUUAUUCUCAUGCAAAUUGAAAUAAUUAUCAGAGUACUUUAUUUCUAAAUAUGAUAUAUGAUCGGUUCAUCACAUACAAAGAAAGUAGAGAAGGGGGUGCCAUGCUUGAAUGAUUGUCGAGUGCGUAACUUCACCACUUGUGUUGUAAGGUGAGCAUGUCAGUCCUUAUGCAGGCAACCAAACAACAAGGGUUUGGCUCGUUUGGCCUUUUCCCCGUGGUUUGUGCGGGAAGUCCAUGCAACCAAACCUACCCCGGCCCUAAGAAUGUAUGUUGGUUGUAUUAUUCAUUGACAAAAUUACUCGCCGAAUUCAGCGGUUGGGAGACAUUAGAUAAUAUCUAUUUGAUUCGCAUGAUCCCAAAGACAUAUCAAUAAGAUAAAUGUAGGGCUUCGUUGUCAUGUCCACUUGAAUCCCACAAGAUUGAAUUCCCACCAAGAUUUGUUUAAUUUCAUCGUGAAAAAAACACUCAUUCCAAUAGUUUAAGUAGACGGAAAUUUUCUUUCAAAUGCAAUGCAAAGGAACAUGGAGUAUAGUUCUACAAACCAAACAACGUACUUGAAAUGUUACUAAGAAUUUGAAUCCUCUAAAAUCUCUAAGAAAAAACAUUUUACCAAGUAGACAGGUGCUGGUCCUUUCAAUUUCAAGACAUCGAAUGAUGUAUUUCUCAUGGAUGAAUGAUUCUGCGAGAAAACGAACAUGUGACUAUAGAUGGAGCUAGGUAUCUCUAAUGCAUGGUCCUGGUCAAUACGUCUUUGUUAAGAAGGAAACAUGUAGAGAGGUAGGAAUUGUAAAUAGGAUAGACACAUGCAGUUCCGUCUGUUCAAGCGAGAGUUAGUGAAAUAAUGACAAGAAGCAAGAGUAAGUCAGGAUACUGCGUAAAAUGUCUCUUAUCUGAAGGCUACUUUGAGAUAAUAAAAUAUUCUUUUCUAAACACUUAAUUCCACUGAGAAUAAACAGUGAUGGUAAUAAGACUGUAAUGGUUAUGCAAUGAAAGCGAUGGUAAGGGUUAAAAACAAACAAGGCACAUUCCUGGCCGGUAAUCUAGUUGUUGAAGUCAACCGAUAUAAAAUGAAUUAAAAUGGUGUUUUCUUAUUAGGUCUUACUUGCAUUAAUUGAGCAGCUAAGAUCAACUCUAACGGGUGACUCAUUUCGUCCACCGUUGUUCGUUUGGAUCCGCGCAGACAAAAGUGAUGGCCCAACACGCGGAUCCAUUGCUAAAGCGUGUUCGCGCCGACCCGUUUCCGACCCAAAUUUGGGACUAAAAUGCGUCGGCGCGGACACGAAGCAGACGUGCGCGCCCUCUCGGCAUCCGCCCCAACUACCCGUGGUCAACAUAAUUAAUGACGACCGCCUUCCCCGGAUCCACGAGUCAGCGACACGCGGUUAGCCUUUUUUAAUCCGAGAUGCGGUGGGGUUCGGCCUCAUCUGCUUCCAGAUCCCCGUCACCAUCGCGCCACCUCUCUGCUCCCUCGUCGGCGACCAAACCCUAGCCAACAGCCAUGGCCGGCUCUGCCCAAAACAAGGGCAAGUCACCCGUCGACCCCGCGCGAUUUUCCCGCCGGCGUCUUCCCGCCGGCCUCGCGAGCGUGUCAGCGUCCCGGUGCACCAAGCGUGAUGGCACUGGGAGCAUCGCAUCCCGUAGUCGUACCCGGACGUGACCCUCCCGCACCACUGGCAUCUGGAUCCAGAGAGGAUCCCGGUGUCGGCCGUGUCGCGGUCGGUGCGAAUGCACGUGGAGGAGGUGAGUCACCGGCGAUGGCAGCUGACGCCGGAGCAGUGGCUCAACCCUGUGUACGCGGCCAACUCUCCUCACUGGGUGGUCUAUUUCGCGGUCGAGCACGAGGAGCGGCGUCGGCGCGGCGUGCGCGACAUGCAACCAGGAGGCCCUCUGCCUCCCCCGCCCGUCGUUAGCGACGAGGACCAGGAGGUGGAGGUCGCCUACCAGGCGACGCUGGCAGCCGCACUCCGCGAGAGCGAGGAGGAAGACCGACACAAGGCCAAGGAGGUGGACACGGCGUACGAGGCGUAGCUCGCGGAGGACAUCGCGCUGUCCGCCGUUGGCGACUGUGUUGUAGCGCCUCCGCCAAAGAACGAGAUGCGGUCGAAGGUCUACCAAUGGACUGGCUACCUCCGCGAGUAGGUCCAGCGCGUCGCCCAUCUGGUUGGGCGCGACACAGCAACAGGAGGCCGCCUACCUCCAGCACUAGAGGGCGCUACACGUGACGGAGGAGCACACCGACGGUCGUCGGCAAAUGGCGCUUGAGCGGGAGGCGGAGGAGGAGCGUGCCCGUGUUGCGCUGUCACCGCCACCAGCACAGCCCGCGUCGGCGGGAUAGACGACGAAGGCGCAGGCAGCGGCACUCUGAAACACGGCGUUCCCCUGGGUCGGCCCUGCGUGGACGCUGGUUGACCUUACCGUCCCCAACGUCGACGACGAGAACGCCUAGGGCAGCCUCGUAGUUUAGUUUUUUUUUAAUGUUUAAUUAAUGUAACGGGGACGCGUGGACUCUCACCGACCUUCGUGGUCGGCCUUAAUUUUAAAUUAAUAUUUGUUUUUUUAUUUCUGAAAAUGUUUGAAAAAAAAUCACAUGUCGUUAAAAUAGAUCGGACCAGCGUUGGACGCAUGCGCCGACACAAACACUAAAGCAGACGUAGAUGUUCGUCGGAUCAACCCAAAGGACAGAAACCAUACGAAAUCGCCGUUAGUUUGGGUCGACAUGUUCCUCUAACGUAUAUCCAGUUUCUUUGAACACGCAUCGAAGUACUCGUCAGUCCUUAUAUAAAGAAAGAGAGUGUUAAGAUGACGCAUACCACGCAUCGUUGCUUUGGAAGAAAGCAACAAUGACACCGUAAACGUCACAAAUAUACAUAAAUUAAUUCCAAAAACGCAAAGACACUCGUCAGGAACACUCGCCAUUCUUUCAAAAUACAAGUUCUCUCCGUAACUUGAAUGCUCGCAAGGAUAAAAUCAUCAAACGAAAAAGCUUUAUUUAGUCGUUGGAAAUUUCCAUUAGAAAGACGACUCGUUCUAGGAAGCCUGUGUACAGCAUUGUGACACACCACAAACAUUCUUUCAAAUACACCAAUUGGCCUAUAAAUAGCUGUGCACAAGUCGAGAUUAUGCAUCGCCCGGUGCUCAUUGAAAUAGGCUUCCACACCCGCUCUAUGCAUAUAACAACCACAUGAUACAAUAUAAGACCACUGCUGAAACAAACAACACAUCCACACCUAAAAGAAAGGAAGAGAAAACAAUGCCAACAUCGGCGAUUAGCGAAAACAACAAUGACCCGCAACCGCUGCAUCUCGUCCGAAAUAUUCCCACCACGAUCCAAACACUCUAAUCCAUCGUGUACCAAGCAGCACCUCCAAGAAUAAUGACGAUGAUGCCCGGACAGGUCCUAGGGUUUCCUCCGGUACGCUCCGGAGAGCAGGGAGGAGGUACAGCUGACACCCUUCAGGAAGGAAGGGUGACACUCUCAAGCAUCUCCAUGUCGGUGUCAAAAGACAAGGAUUUCUCCCGACCCCCAAACCACCAGCUCCCGGACAAUCAGAGACGCUCCACCAAGCAUGCCAUCCACCAACAUACACCACCACGGUCUUGCAGUCACCAUCGUCAUCUCAUCAUGGCCAACGUAGCAAGGCCAGUCAUACUGAGAUGAAUCUCCCGAAGAAAAGGUCCUACAGGAGAACAACCACACAAGAGGGGACCACCUCUACCGUCCAAGACGGUCGUUGUCCGGACACGACCACGAGAGCACACCGAACCAUUGAAACCGGAGGACGGCAGCAGCGCAUCCACCCGGAGGACGUCCUCCACCGCCAUCCAGGGUGCCGAUCGGACAUAGCAGCCGAGCCACCCAGGCCAGAUUGGCCCAGCCGAGCCACGGCCAAGCCCCGGGGCUCGUAUAGUCCACGCCGUCGUGCUUCUGCACGUAGUCCGCCGUCGCCGCUAACCUCAUGCAACCCAAAAGCUCUGUCGAGCAUGGACAAGCCCAUGAAACUCCCAUCGCCACGUUGCAGCGGUGCGGCGUCAACGAUGUCGUCCUCGCCGCGAGCCAUGCUGCAGGCCAACUGGAGGCAACGAGACAGGCCCAACCUGACCCAGAUCGGGCACUAGGGCCAAGAUGUGGGCCUGCAGGGCCGAAGCGCCACCAUCGCCACCCAACCACCAAUGGCAGCACCACCGCCACCAAGACAACCCACGCCGCACCAGGGGGAGCCCCACCGCUGCACCAGGCCACUGCGGCCGAGGAGCACCACCAGGCCCCGGGCUGCCCCGCACCAGGAGGGGAAGGGUCGGAGGCCCGCCGCCACCGAGUCCGCUCGACCAAGGGCCGGCACGACACACCGUUGACGACGGGAGGGAGUAGGGAAGGGGGCGAGGAGGCGUGAUGCGGGGGGCACGGCCCGGCCGCCGCGGAGGCGGCAUGGAUCAUCCGAUGCUCACCAUCCGAAUCAAGCCUUUCAUUCAAGCGUGCAGCAAAACUAAGCAUGUCUCGCAGUUGUGGAUGAAGCUACAGUUGCGAAUCGAACUGCAACUGCGGGUAUGCGUGGAUACUUCUGUUUUGUCUUGCAUACUAUUGGGAAACUAGGCCUAGCCUAGUCGCACGCGCGACGGUGGUGAGGCUGGCUAGCGUAGGAGGCACGCAGCCAGCCCCUAUCGCUUCCUAAUCUCACGUUAGAUGGGUACUUAUUCGUUGACUCCAUACCCCUAUAUAAGCACAGGAGAGGCAAUCAUUGUAACACAAAGAUGAUCAUUAAUAAAGAUUGAUUCUUCCCUACCUCUUGUGUCUUCUACUUUCUGUCAUUGUCUACGACGCUCGCUCCUGCUCCGCAACCUUGGACCGGACUCACCGGCAGGAGUUGCGGAACACGUUAUUAUCACGCUUCGCUCCACCAACUCUCCAUCGAGCCUGCACCAAGCAGGUUGUCGUCGAUCGCACAGGGGUAUAAGAUCCAAUCCCUCUCUUUGCAAAAAUGGAUUCCCCUUGUUAUCACGGUUCCGUUAUUGUGCCUAGUUUAUUUUUUGGACUUAAUCUACCUAUGGUGUGGAUUUCCCUCCCAAGAACUGGAUGGCGAAUACGCCGCCGACCAAUGUCGAUGUACUUGGAUCAAGAGGGAUUUAUUGAGUGCACUAUACGGGAGUCGGUACACAUCCUGACUCAGAUGGUCACGGUACCGCCACACCGCACCUGGUGCCAAGCGUCGUCAAGGUUCCAGAUGAACGUGACGAAGAAUCACCCCUGUUGUCCAUGACCGUGCUCGCCCGGCGCACCCAGCCACAGCUGGCCGCGACCAUGUUGGUCGCCCGCGUCCCGCACCGGCCGUGCUCGCCCACUGCACCUGCUGCGCUCACCCGUGGCUACUGCGCACGCGCAGGCCGGUGGCAUCGGCCGCCCCGCCACGGCCAUCAGCUGGCCGGCCACGCGUGCUCCGUAGCUCGCCACCGCCUAGCCGCUCGCCUGGCCGGCCGCGCAGCUCCGCCGCAGCAGCCGCCUGUCCGCGCGUCGCCUGGCCGACUACGUCGCGCCGCAGCUUGGUGCCUCCUGGCCGCGCCGCCGCCUGGCCUCGCUGCCUGCCUCCGCCGCUCGUCGAUCCGGGCCGUCGCUCGCGCCGUGCCUGCGCAGGUGGGGGCCUCGGCCUGCAGCCACCGUUGUGUUGGCCUCGGCCUCACCUCCACCCGGCCUCCCACUAUAGCCCCGCCCGGCCUGGCUGUGCCGAGCCGCUAGCCCUAGCCAGGCACGGCCGUCGCCGCCACGUGGGCGUUAGGAAAACCUAGCGACCCGGUGCGCUGGCUGGCUGGAAGGCCUCAUGGGCCACCGCAGGUGGGCCUUCGGGCCACUGUUUUUUCCUUUUGGGCCAUCUAUCCAUUGAAAAAAAAGAAAAAAUGUGGAUGGGCCGGCUCGCAGUACAAGAAUUGGGCCGGUUGCCUAGUUUUUCGUAAAAAAUCGUAUAUUCUGGCUUUAAAAGAGUUCGGGAAUUCGCUUUUUUGGGCUAUUUUCACGUAUUAGAUACGCGUAAUAUACUAUCUCAUACAACAUGAUUUUAUUAUACGUUUUUACUCUUGUAGAUUAAUUGUCUAGCACUUUUAAUCAUUAGGUAAAUCAUAUAGUAAAAAUGUAUUAUAUAAUCAAACAUUAUUUUUUAUUGAAUAAGUUUUUUUACAUCGCAUUUAUGUAAAAGAUUACAUGCUGUAAUCUCAUUAUUUUUGCAUAAAUUGCAGAUGGCCGGAAUCGUCAAUAGGGAGUUUCCUGAGUUGGCCCAGACACGGCUAAACUACUUGAGUUGGUCUUCGGACUGCGAGAUCUGGUUCGAGGGCAAGAACCUUCUGAGGGCGAUUGGUGUUGGAAAUAUGCCCUAGAGGCAAUAUUAAAGUAGUUAUUAAAGUAGUUAUAAUUGUAUUAACCAAAAACCGUAAUACAUGUGUGAAUAUAUAGAUCACAAUGUGUCCCUAGUGAGCCUCUAGUUCGCUAGCUCAUUGAUCAUGGUUUCUUGAUCAUGGACAUUGGAUGUCAUUGAUAACGGGAUCACAUCAUUGGGGAAUGAUGUGAUGGACAAGACCCAAUCCUAAGCAUAACACUAGAUCGUGUUGUUCAUGUGCUAAAGCUUUUCUAAUGUCAAGUAUCAUUUCCUUAGACCAUGAGAUUUUACAACUCCCGGAUAUCGUAGGAGUGCUUUGGGUCUACCAAACGUCACAACGUAACUGGGUGGUUAUAAAAGUGCACUACAGGUAUCUCCGAAAGUGUCUGUUGGGUUAUACGAAUCGAGACCGGGAUUUGUCACUCUGUGUGACGAAGAGGUAUCUUUGGACCCACUCGGUAAUCCAUCAUCAUACUGAGCUCAUUGUGACUAAGGAGUUAGCCACGGGAUGAUGUGUUACGGAACGAGUAAAGAGACUUGCCGGAAACAAGAUUGAACCACGUAUAGAGAUGCCGACGAUUGAAUCUCGGGGAAGUAUCAUACUCAUAGACAAAGGGAAUUGCAUACUGGAUUGAUUGAAUCCUUAACAUCGUGGUUCAUCCGAUGAGAUCAUCGUGGAACAUGUGGGAACCAACAUGGAUAUCCAGACCCCACUACUGGUUAUUGGCCGGAGAGAUGUCUCGGUAAUGUCUGCAUGUCUCCUGAACCCGUAGGGUCUACACACUUAAGGUUCAAUGACGCUAGAGUGGUAAAGGGAAUGGUAUGUGGUUACCGAAUGUUGUUAGGAGUCCCGGAUGAGAUCCCGGAUGUCACGAGGAGCUCCGGAAUGGUCCAGAGGUAAAUAUUGAUAUAUAUAUAUAGGAAGUCCUGUUUUGGUCAUCGGGAAAGUUUUGGGCCCAUCGGUAGUGUACGAGGAGUGCCGGGAGGGUGUCGGAGGACUCCCAAGAGGGGUGUGACGACCAAAGAGGUGCAUCGGCUGUUAGAGGAGGUGUACUAGUCCUUAUUGGGCUUUCCAAGGCCAUCCCUAAAGUCCUAUGCGCAUAGGGAUAAAAGAGAUAAGGCAAGGAAGAUUAAAAGGAAAGGAGGAAGAGUCCUACCAAGGUAGUCCACCUCCCUUGUGGGAGGUGGACACCUCCCUAGCUUCGACCGAAGCUCCUCCUUGGAGGAGGGGCCAAGGCAGCCUCCCUCUCCCUCCUCCUAUACAUAGUGGAUGGUUUUGGCCUUUUGGAGACACACAAUCAUCUCCCACGGCGCAGCCCUACCUCUCUCUUCUUCAUUCUCCGCAACGCUUGGCGAAGCCCUAUCGGAGAACCACAUAGCUCCAUCGCCAGCAUGCCGUCGUGCUGCCAGAGCUCUCCCUUGACUUCUCCUCUCUCCUUGCUGGAUCAAGAAGGAGGAGACGUCACCGGGCUGUACGUGUGUUGAACGCAGAGGUGCCGUGAUUCGGCACAUAGAUCGGAAUCCACCGCGAUCUGAAUCGCUGCGAGUAUGACUCCAUCAAUCGUGUUCAUAGUAACGCUUCCGCUUAGCGAUCUUCAAAGGUAUGAAGAUGCUCUACAACCUCUCUCGUUUUUGGUUUUCUUCAUAGAUAGAUCCUUGUAUGGCGUAGGAAUUUUUCAAAAUUAUCACGAUCCCUAAUAGUGGCAUCCGAGCCAAGGUUCUAUGUGUAGAUUCUAUGCAUGAGUAGAACACAAAAGUUAUGGGCGCUGAUUUGUCAACUUGCUUGCCGUUACUAGUCUUAUCUUUUUUCGGCGGUGUUGUGGGAUGAAGCAGCCCGGACCGACCUUACAUGUAUGCUUACGUGAGACUGGUUCCACUGAGAGACAUGCACUUGGUGCAUAAGGUGGCUAGCGGGUGUCUGUCUCUCCCACUUUAGUCGAAUUGCAUUCGAUGAAAAGGGUCCUUAUGAAGGGUAAAUAGCAUUGGCAUAUCAACGUUGUGGCUGUCACGUAGGUAAGAAGCAUUCUUGCUAGAAACCCAAACCAACCAUGUAAAACUUGCAACAACAAUUAGAGGACGUCUAACUUGUUUUUGCAGGGUAUGUCAUGUGAUGUGAUAUGGCCAAAAGGAUGUGAUGUAUGAGAUUGAUCAUGUUUUUGUAAUAGGAUUCAUGACUUGCAUGUCGAUGAGUGACAACCGGCAGGAGCCAUAGGAGUUGUCAUAAUUUAUUGUAUGAGAUGCAACGCCAUGUUGAUUACUUUUACUUUAUCGCUAACGGUUAGCUAUAGUAGUGGAAGUAAUAGUUGGCAUGAUGACUUCACAGAGACACAAUGAUGGAGAUCAUGGUGUCAUGCGAGUGACGAUGAUGAUCAUGGUGCCCCGAAGAUGGAGAUCAAAGGAGCAAGAUGAUAUUGGCCAUAUCAUGUCACUAUAUGAUUGCAUGUGAUGUUUAUCAUGUUUUUCAUCUUAUUCCUUAGAAUGACGGUAGCAAAGAUAAUAUGAUCCCUUAUUAAAAUUUUGAGAUAAGUACUCCCCUAAGUAUGCACCGUUGCGAAUGUUCGUUGUCUCGAAGCACCGCGUGAUGAUCAGGUUUGAUAGAUUCUAACGUUCGCAUACAAUGGGUGUAAGCCAGUUUACACACGCAAAACAGUUAGGUUGACUCGACGAGCCUAGCAUGUACAGACAUGGCGUCGAAUACGGGAGACCAAAAGGUCGAACAUGAGUCGUAUGGUUGAUACGAUCAGAUGGAGAAGCUCACCAUUGAUGACUAGUCUGUCUCACAUGAUUGGACGCGGGCUAGUCGACAUGGAUCUUGUAACACUUGGAUGACUAGAGGGAUGUCGAUCUAAGUGGGAGGUCAUUAGUAAUUUGAUUAGAUGAACUUAAUUAUCAUGAACUUAGUCUAAAAUUGUCUUUACAAAUAUCGUAGAUCCAAUGGCCAACGCAAAUGUCACAUUAAACUUCAACCCGUUCCUAGAGAAAACCAAGCUGAAAGACGAUGGUAGCAAUUAUGCGGAUUGGGCUCGUAACUUGAAGCUCAUCCACAUGGCUUCCAAGAAGGCAUAUGUCCUUGAUGCACUUCUAGGUGAUCCUCCCGUUCCCGCGGCAGACCAGGACGCUAGAAAUGCGUGGCAGUCACGGAGUGAUGACUACUCUCUCGUUUAGUGCGGCAUGCUUUACAGUUUAGAACUGGGGAUCCAAAGGUGUUUUGAGAAACACGAAUCAUAUGAUAUGUCCGAGGAGCUGAAACUUGUUUUUCAAGAUCAUGCCCGGGUCGAGAGAUAUGAAGUCUCCGACAAGUUCUUUAGCUGUAAGAUGGAGGAUAAUAGUUUUGGCAGUGAGCACAUACUCAGAAUGUUUGGGUUGCACAACCGCUUGACUCGGCUCGGAGUUGAACUUCCGGAUGAUGCGGUCACUGAAAGAAUCCUCUAGUCGCACACACUAUUAUGUUGAAUUUUUAGAUGCAGGAAAGUAUGGAUUGCUUGCAGAUCUUCACACACUGUUCUGUUUUUGACACAUGCUGAUUUUCAUGCAUAGUUUGCUUGUUCUAGUGUUUCCAUAGCUUAUAUUGAGUGAUAUAAAUUAUGGAAAUGAUAUAAUACUUUUGGCAUCAUGUGAUAACAAUAAUGAAUCUUUUCUUUGCAUUACCUAAGUGAAUGAUCUAUAUUUAUCAUACUAACCCAUCUCACAAAGUUCCGUUAAGUUUUUUGUGAUUGAAGUUUUCAAGAUUUGGGCGAGAUACCGAUAUGAGAAGAAUAAGGAGCGUAAAUAUACUAAUAUUGGGGAUUCCCAAGGCACCCCCAAGGUAAUAUCCAUGGAAGAAUCAAGUGUCUAAGCUUGGGGAUGCCCCGGAAGGCAUCCCCUCUUUCGCCUUCAACACUAUCGGUAUAUCUUACUUGGAGCUAUAUUUUAAUUCAUCACAUGAUAUUUGUUUUCCUUGGAGAAUCAUUUUCUUCUUUUAAACUUUGAUUGUUGUUAUUUAUAAUGUUGUUUUUCAAUAAAAAGUUUCAAGAAUUGCCAUUAGAAUGCUUGAAUUUCAUGUGUGAUGUGUGAUGUACAAAAACAGAAACAUUGGUGUAGUAUUUGAAUUAUGAUAUUUUACUGGAGCAUGGAAAGUUUGUGAAUUUUGAAAAGGACCUUCAUACAAAUUGUUUAGCCUGACCUAAAGUUUCAUAAUUUUUGGAGUUACAUAAGUACACUUCUGAAACGAAUUGCAACAGAUUGUUCUAUUUGGACAGAUUGUUGUAAUAGUUUUUUAUCUACUUAUCCUAGAGUUUUCAUGGCUUAUAUUGGUGGAUAUAAAUUUUAUAAAUGAGAUUAUAUAUUACAUAAUGUUUGAAAAUUAUUAUUCAACUUGUCUUGGCAGUACAUGAAGUGUUGAUUUAUUGUUAUGUGUACUAACCAAGCUCCGGAGUUCUUUUCAAGUUUCGUGUGGAUGAUUUUUUUAGACUUAGGUGAAACCGAGAUAUGAGAAGAUUGAACGGGAUACAUAAGUUCAAUAUUGGGGAUGCCCAAGGCACCCCAAGUAAGUAUCACAAGAAUUCUCAAGCAUCUAAGCUUGGGGAUGCUACGCAUCCCGCCUCUCUUUGUCAACAAAUAUGGGUUAGCUUAUGUUGAUCCUAGGUUUUUAUUUAUUAAAAUGAUAUGUGCUAUCCUUAGAAUGUAUUAUUGUUUUAUUUCUAUUUGAAAUCAAUCUUAGAUAUGAAAAUCUCUAUUGAGAGAGAGUACUCACAUAGAUACUUUAUUGUUUGACUACUUAUUGUUCUUCACUUAUAUCUUUUGAGACUAGUUUGAAGUUUACUCAUGUGCUUCACUUAUAUCCUAAGAGUAAAUUGUGAAUGAAUGAAAUAUCAUUAAUUUUAAAUUAUCAGUGUGCUUUAUGGUUUGUAGUAGUUUCACAUUUGGUUUAGAAAGUGAAAUCUAUUGAAGUUUGAAAAUCAUAAUAUUGGUCAUACAAGAAUGAUUAGUAUACGAAAGAGAACUUUCACUUACAAAUAUAUUAUCUUAGACAUCUUUUAUAAUUGUGAAUACCCAUUAAUUAUUUUCAACCUUGAUCAAAUUGUUUAAGUUGGAGCGGCUAGUAUCUUCCAUGCUAAGUAGGUUAUUCUCAUGAUGAAUGUUCAUUCACUUUUCGUUGCACAAGAGAGGUUCGUAAAAAGGAUGUCUAGUCCUUAAUAAUAUGAAAAUAAAUAAACAAGAAUUCCCCCUAGAAAAUUGAUUGUUUGGAGUGCACCCGUGGAUAUGGUUAGCAAUGGAAUGUGUUUGAAUGGUUGAGGGGGAGUAAAAUUUCAAUUUUGUUUGGGAACCGCCAAUAAUGUGAUUAGCAUGGAAGAUACUGAAAUCCCUUGUCAUAACGUUGAUACAAAAGGCACACCACCCAAAAUAUAUUCAUCGUUGUUUUAAACAAUGAGCUCUCGCACCUCUGCAAAUCCGUGAUUCCCUUUGUGAAGGGGCAUUUAUUUACUUUUAUGUUAUUUACUUUCAUUUUAUUUAGUUUUCAUGUUAAGUCAACUUCUUAUUCCCGCCUUAAUCUAUUAUUUGACAACACCAUAUGGUGGGGAAAGAUCCAGGAAUAUAUAUCCACUCAAAUAUAUUUGAUCAUGAUUCAUUAUUGUUGACAAGUAUCUUUAUGAUAAUUGUGUUGGGAGGCGAAACAUUAAGCCACUAUCUUUCUAUGUGUUCGGUGGAUGUUGUUUGUUACAAAAAUAUGCAUUGAGUACUAGCAAUCAUAGAAGACUAUAUGAUAAUUGAGUAUGUGGAGCUCUUACUUAGACUUUGCUGAAAAUAAGAUGCAUUGGAAUUGUUUGAUGACUAAGAACAUAGGUUGUUAAGUUUCAAGAGGAUGUAUUGUUUGAACCAUGACAACUGAAUUGAUUUCUACGCUAUCUUGAUGAGUUUUAUGAGAAAUAGUUUCUGGUUAUGAUGCUAGAAAAGUGUUUGAAAUUAUCAUUGAUCAAAAUUAUACACUAUGCUAGCAUUCACACUUCAUAAAUUACUUAUUUUAUCAAUUACCUACUCGAGACGGGUAGGAAUUAAGCUUGGGGAUGCUGAUACAUAUCCAACGCAUUGAUAAUUUAUGAAGUAUUCAUGCCAUAUUUACCUAUUUUUAUAAUACUCUUAUAUGGUUUUUAUGCACUUUAUAUUAUUUAGUAGGAACUAACCCGGACUGGUGAUGUUUUCAGCAGAAUUAUCGUGGUGUUGUUUUUGUGCAGAAAAUAAAAGUUCUUGGAAUCACCCAAAACAUUUUGACAAUUUUUUCUGGAACAAAUAAGAAGUACUAGAGCGAAGAACAACCAGAGGAGGGCCACAUAUGGCUUCCGUGCCAAUAGGACGCAUCCACCCCCUCGGCACGCCCUGAUGGCUUGGGACCACCUCAUGGCUCCAUUGCAUGUGAUUCCAACGCUGAAAAAUCCUAUAAAUCGCAAAAAGACCAGAAGAUAACCUGGAACUUCCGCUUCGCCGUCGCAAGCCUCUAUAUCAACGAAAACUCAUUAAAAGCACUUUCCGGCACCCAAUCGGAGGAGGAAAUCUUCAUCGGAGGCCAUCUUCAUCAUCCCGGAGGUCUCCAUGUCGAAGAGGGAGUAGUUCACCCUCGGGGCUGAGGGUAUGUACCAGUAGCUAUGUGGUCUCUCUCUCUCUCUCUCNNNNNNNNUCUCUCUCUCUCUCUCUCGUUUUCUUAACAUGUCAUGAUCUUGAUGUAUCAUGGGCUUUGUUAAUAUAGUUAGAUCAUAUGGUGUUUGUCCCUUUCUAUCUUGUUGUGAUGAAUUAAACCUUUCCCUUGAGAUUUUAUUAUGUCGGAUUGAAUACUGGAUUUGAGAUCACUUGAUGUAUGUAUUUCAUGUGGAUACCCGUGAUGACAAAGGGGUGUUCUAUUGAUUCACUUGAUAUAUGGUUUGGUACUCAACUUGCGGAUUCCCGUGGUGAUAAUGGGGUAAUUAUACAUACGGGUUGAUAGACGUUCUCGUCCUACUUUCUCCGAUAGAAAUCUUGGAGUACUCUUUGAAGUUCUUUGUGUUGAAUUGAAUAUGAUGAAUCUGAAAUUUUUUAUUGCAUGUCGAAUAAUUAACCCACGAAUGCUUGAGGUGAUAUUAGAGUAUCUAGGUGACAUUAGGGUUGAUUGAUGUGUAUCAUAGGUGUUAUUCUAGUACGAACUCUAGGGUUGUUUGUGACACUUAUACUAAUAGAUCAAUGGAUUGAUCGGAAAGAAUAGCUUUGAGGUGGUUCUACUACCUACAAUAAUUCUAUCUCAUGUUCUCCGGUAGAAUGAACUUUGGAUUGAUUCUUUGUCGCAUGUUGAGGGAUGAUCAUAUGAUUCUAUUAUGUUAGGAUUGUUGAGAGAUUGCACUAGUGAAAGUAUGAACCCUAGGCCUUAUUCCUAAGCAUUUAUAUAAAGUUUUGCUCGUUGUUUACUACUUGUUACCUUGCUAUUUUUAUAUUUUCAUAUUACAAAAACCUAUAUAUAUUAUCCAUACUACACUUGUAUCACCAUCUCUUCGCCAAACUAGUGCACCUAUACAAUUUUCCACUGUAUUGGGUGUGUUGGGGACACAAGAGAUUUCUUGUAUUUGAUUGUAGGGUUGUUUGAGAGAGACCACCUUCAUCCUACACCUCCCAUGGAUUGAUAAACCUUAGGUCAUCCACUUGAGGUAAAAUUGCUACUGUCCUACGAAACUCUACGCUUGGAGGCCUAACAGAGUCUAUAAGAAAAAAGUUGUGUGCUAGACAUCAACUCCUCGUUGGGUUCGACACUCUUACUUAUCAAAAAAGGCUGCAAACGAUCCCCUACACUUGUGGGUAAUUAGGAAGUAUUUUAGAUUAUCAGGAAUUUUUGGUGGGUGAUUAGGAUGAUAGAAGAAAAAUAGGUUAGCUUGGGACAAAUUGACGAGGCCUAAAGGUAUGUGCAUUAUUAAUUUUCGUGUUCUCACGUUAUUAAACCAAGCUCCUUUGGCUAAACUGGUGUGUUGCUUCUUGUUUUAUCCAGACUCACUAUGUGCCAAGUUGAUGGAAGCAAAGUAUUAUCCCCAAGGACAUGCUCUCGGCAUUGUUUUUCCUCAUUUUGCAUUAGUGACUUGGCAAGGUAUUAUGCAUAUUAUGGAUCUUCUUAAGAUGGGUGUCUUCUUAAGAUGGGUGUCAUUUGAGGGGUGGGAGGGGUGAUGGAUCUAGUAUUAACAUCUGGAGGGAUAAUUGUCUCAUCGGAAGUUCGAGAAAGAAACUUUCAACUAACAGGUAUAAUACUUGAUUAAGAACCUAUUCUGUCCACAGGAUGUAGAGGAAAUUCUAGAAAUUUAAAUUCAAUUGUUCAAGGAUGGAUAUUUGAUUUCACGAUACUAUGAGAAUAAUGGUAAAUUUUUCGCUAAAAGUGGGUACAAUUUUGCGCUUAAUUUUAAGAAUAGAAAGGACGUUCGGGGGCAAUCUAGGCAUCAAUGGGUUUCAUUAGUUUUUUCUCCACUCGUCAUUUUGGAUUGGGAAGUUUGACAUAGAUUGGUGAUAUGAUUAUUCUCGGCAUCUCAUUUCUAUUGAGCGCACUCUAGUUCAUUUAGAGGCGCAACACAUAGGCUACUCAAGAUGAUGAGUAUUUUAGGAAUGUUUAGAUUUAUAACUAUGUAUUUUGUCUAGUUUGUUAAGUGGCAUGAUGGAUAGACUACUCCUUGUAAUGUGGUAGCAGUAUCUAUCUUUCAUAUAUGUAUUGGAUGUCUAAAUGUAUAUGUGCAUUGUUUUAUGGAAAGCAAUUCACUUGUGCAAAUGAAUGAUGUAUGCAUGUGCAUUUUGUUUUUGUGUGUUUUCUCUAUUUCAUUUCCUGGUAUAUUGCUAGUAGAAACAUAAAAAAGCCAAGCCAUAAAAUGGGGCAAUUUUGCUUCUCACGAACAAUUAUGACUGGCCAGUCGGUAGUCUAUGAUGAAGUGCUAUCACUGGUCGUCCAAGUGGCUCGUUUGUGGUAAAAAAUUCAUCACUGGCCGGAAGAAACUUAUGGGCCAAAAGUGCGUUAGUGAUGAUAUAAAUUGGAGGAACACUACUAUUCAAUUAUGUAGUAGUGUUUGUCUUCAUAUUCUCCUUAAACCCUGAAAAAUAUUUAUCGAGGAUUUUUUGUAUGCCGCCUCCACCUCCUAUUCUGCUAUAAUCUAGUCUGGAUUCCUUUUUGGUACUCUGACACACGGGGAAUUCAUCAUCAUUACCAUCUUCAUCAUCUUGUUGCCACAAUGUCCAUGUGUGAGUAGUCCUUCAUGGACUAUCGGUUUGUAAUAGUAUCUAGAUGAUGUCCUCUCCCUCCUUGUUUGCAAUGCAAUGAUCACAUGAGUUGCUUAACAUGAUUGUGGUUAUCUGAUGUAAUUAAUAGUGUGUUUGUUGUAAUCAUGAAUUGACACCUUAUGAUCAAGUUUAUAUAUGAUUUAUUUUCGAUUCAUGUGAGUCCUUUGUUGCAUGAUUUCUCAUACAUAUAUGAUAUCCGAUCUAUUACUCGUUGCAUUGGCCAUUUUUAGAUUAAUGCUCUCCAAGAAAGAGUUGUGUAUGUUAGAGCAUCUACAAUAACUCUCUAUCUCUAGAAAUAAUCGCCAAUUACGGAAAGUUGUCAAGGAAAAAACCUAUCCAGUAUCAUCUUUCCAUAAAGUUACGGGAACUUUACACGAACUAUUGAAGAAGGUUUUUUGCCCCUCACAUCCCAUAACAUCGCCGGAACGACGGCGCGUGCCGACGGCCAUGCAUAACUCACAACAUGUGUGUCACUAUCGGGCGAGUCCUAGUGAGUUAUUAUUUUUUGUUUAACUAAAAAUAAAAUAAAAAUGGAUUUUGGGAAAAAAGUUGCGGGAAAUAACAACAUAAGAAUAGAAUAAUAAUGAUGGUAAGCAUAAAGAAGGCUCAUUUCUUGCAGGAGGGCAGUGGCUAAAGUUAGUAAAUGUAAAAUGAAUUAUAGUGUUACUCCUCUGGUUCAGUUUACAAGUCGGGCACGGAUUUCCACGUCUUCAAUCCAACUAGGGAAGCAUGCACUAUUUUUUAUUAAACAAUACUCCCUCCAUUCCACAAUGUUGUGGGACCAUGUUUUUUAAGAUUUAAGUUUGCUCAUAAAUUUAACCGGCAUGAAUGACUGCGGCGGAGGUAAAAAUUAUAUCAUUGAAUUCCUAUUCAAAAUAAGUUUUCAAUGGUAUAUUUGUUUCUCCCAUCGGAGUCGACCAUGUUGGUUAAAUUUAUGGUCAAACUUAAAUCUCGAAAAGCGCGGGCGCGGUGUAUUAUGAAAUGGAGGGAGUAUAUCUUUACAUUCAUUGUCAAAUGCAGUUUCUAAUAAUAUAAUUUUUGUGACAUAUUAUCCAUAAUUAAUUAGUCAACUCAAAGUCCUAAAUAUAGUGCCCGACUAAUAUACCGCUCGGAGGGAGUACAGUUUUAUUAGGUAUUUAUAUCAUAUGUUCAUGAAUUAAUUAAGAGAUAAUUGAGUUUAUGCCCCUAGUUAGGUCACACUCAACAGGUUUAACCCUAGUUUCCAAAAACACUCGUUGUUGCCCAAAUCAUUUCGCUUAUCUUAUGGUUUUGCCCUUUGACCGUUUGACCGUCACUUUGAAAACUUCAUAAAAGAAUUAUACUAACUCAGAAAAAAUAAGUUAAGAUAUCAAAAUGUUCAGAAAAAGUUGGAAAGUCCAGAUAUGAGUUUGAGAUCUAAACUUGUUUUGUUUUGCCAUUUGCAUUCUUGACAAAAAGUUGGAAAGUCCACAUAUGAGUUUGAGAUCUUAUGAUCUCAACAUGAAUAGAAAAUGUCAAAAAAAAGAUUAAAAAACAUAAAAUUUUUUGGGGCAAAGUUGGACCAAUGUUUUACGUGAUUGCCAAGUUUCAUGAGGGAAUGACAUAUUUUCGGGACCCCGAUCCUAAGCCAUAGGAAUCCAGCCUGUAACACAUUGCAUCCCUUUGCGGUCUCUCGCACGGUUAUCCUCGCGGCUGCCACCUUACCUUGGCCGGGAGCGUUUGCACCUUUUGACUCACGUAUGCAUUAGUGUCGCUAGCAUUCCAAUGUCAAAGAACCCGAGUCGACAUAUCUAGUCAUAAACUCAAGUGGCUCGACUGCAUAGAGAUAGGCAUACAUAACCCAACAAAGCAGGUGUCGGUCAUCAAAGACUGUAGACGAGUCGUAGCAAGCUACAAGGACUCCAUUACACCACGUGACAUUUCCCCGUAGGGACAGACACAACAACUAAGAAGGAUACAUGUCGGUCAACCAAUGUGUCCGGAGUAGUAGCGAACUACCAAGGCUCGAUGGAAUCACAAAGGGGCAUUUCUCUGUAUAGGGAGCUACUAAGGCAUACGACUAGGUGUCGAAUCCCAUACAUAUCACAGUGCAUCACACGUACGCAUGGCAUACUAGAUAUGCAUAGAUACAACAAUGGCAUCACAACAUAACCAUACAACAUUACGACAUUUAUUAAGAAGACUUGGAAGAGUCUUGCAUAAUAUGUUCAUACAGGCAGGGGUCACACGACCCGACACUCAAAGACAUACAAACAGAGUCAUACAAACCAACAAAAUCAUAAAAGCUGUUUGAGUACACACAGUUGAAAGGAUAAGGCAUAAAGCCUCACUAUCUACAGAUCCCUUCUGAAAGGGGCCAGGUCGUAGUUGGGAAACCAGCUACUCGUCAUCAUCGAUGUCUAGAAAGAACCCACCUGUUGGCUCGUGUGUAUCCUCUACAACAAUUAUUAAGCAAACAUGAGUACAAGAGUACUCAGCANNNNNNNNNNNNNNNNNNNNNNNNNNNNNNNNNNNNNNNNNNNNNNNNNNNNNNNNNNNNNNNNNNNNNNNNNNNNNNNNNNNNNNNNNNNNNNNNNNNNNNNNNNNNNNNNNNNNNNNNNNNNNNNNNNNNNNNNNNNNNNNNNNNNNNNNNNNNNNNNNNNNNNNNNNNNNNNNNNNNNNNNNNNNNNNNNNNNNNNNNNNNNNNNNNNNNNNNNNNNNNNNNNNNNNNNNNNNNNNNNNNNNNNNNNNNNNNNNNNNNNNNNNNNNNNNNNNNNNNNNNNNNNNNNNNNNNNNNNNNNNNNNNNNNNNNNNNNNNNNNNNNNNNNNNNNNNNNNNNNNNNNNNNNNNNNNNNNNNNNNNNNNNNNNNNNNNNNNNNNNNNNNNNNNNNNNNNNNNNNNNNNNNNNNNNNNNNUCUCCAAGUAGUCCAUAUUCGCGGACGCGGCUAUUCGAAUAGAUCAUAACCUUGCAGGGGUGUACUUCUUCACACACGCUCUUGCCACUUAUCACUAUGUUUACAUCAUGCACCUCGACAACCUUCAAGCGGAAGCCCAGCGAGGGAGUCAGCCACGACCGUUAACCACGCUAAUACCUAGUCUAGGUUUAUUGCCUAUUUGAGAGUGAACCCGCACGGAAGU